UGGCAUCAAUGGAUGAACCUUUACGUGGUGAUGCUAUAAGUAAUCUAUUAUAGAUGAAACUAAUCAGUCUU
rnacentral:ribozyme from 1 species